GCAGUCGUGGCCGAGUGGUUAAGGCAAUGGACUAGAAAUCCAUUGGGAUUUCCCCGCACAGGUUCGAAUACUGUCGACUGCG
rnacentral:tRNA from 1 species